UGCAGAGGGCCAAUCCACGUGCGUAAGUCUUCAAACAUGGAUGAUGACAGCGGAACAGAGGAAUUGACUGCGGAGGAAGUUUUAUUGGCACAGCAUCGUAAAGAAAAAAAGGAAUUACGAGCUAAGAUCCAGCAGAUAAAAAAAGUAAUAAAGAUAAGAAAAAUAAGAAAGAAGGAGCUGAACAAAUAGCGAGAUUAGAAGAAGAAUUGACACAGCGACAUGAAAAAGAA